UACGUAGGGGGCAAGCGUUGUCCGGAAUUAUUGGGCGUAAAGAGCUCGUAGGCGGUCUGUCGCGUCGGCUGUGAAAACUCGGGGCUCAACCCCGAGCCUGCAGUCGAUACGGGCAGACUAGAGUGCUGUAGGGGGAGACUGGAAUUCCUGGUGUAGCGGUGAAAUGCGCAGAUAUCAGGAGGAACACCGGUGGCGAAGGCGGGUCUCGUGGGCCGUAACUGGACGCUGAGGAGCGAAAGCGUGGGGAGCGAACAGG
rnacentral:rRNA from 1 species